CCUACGGGUGGCUGCAGUGGGGAAUAUUGGACAAUGGGCGCAAGCCUGAUCCAGCCAUGCCGCGUGAGUGAUGAAGGCCUUAGGGUUGUAAAGCUCUUUUACCAGGGAAGAUAAUGACGGUACCUGGAGAAUAAGCCCCGGCUAACUUCGUGCCAGCAGCCGCGGUAAUACGAAGGGGGCUAGCGUUGCUCGGAAUCACUGGGCGUAAAGCGCACGUAGGUGGGUCGUUAAGUCGGGGGUGAAAUCCUGGAGCUCAACUCCAGAACUGCCUUCGAUACUGGCGAUCUUGGAGUCCGGGAGAGGUGAGUGGAACUGCGAGUGUAGAGGUGAAAUUCGUAGAUAUUCGCAAGAACACCAGUGGCGAAGGCGGCUCACUGGCCCGGUACUGACACUGAGGUGCGAAAGCGUGGGGAGCAAACAGGAUUAGAUACCCUUGUAGUCC
rnacentral:rRNA from 2 species